ACUCUUGAGUUAGCUCAGUCGGUAGAGCAUGAGAUUCUUAAUCUCAGGGUCAUGGGUUUGAGCCUCAUGCUGGGCA